AUCUCGUCAGGUUGUUUUGGUCACCAGCUGAUCGGCCUCUGAGUCGACAGCCUCCUCGUCGUGGACUCGUCGUCCCUGAUGCUUUUACUCUAGUAUUUUUCAGACGGCAGCGGAAUAAAAAGAAACCAGUAUCGAAACUCUCCUUGGGCCGCAGGGCGUUUUAUAUCCAAAUCAGGCCCCAAGGACUCCGUCUAGAAGCUAUCCGCUAACCAUCGCUGUCUCCUAUGAGAAGGCUGGAGAAGUAAUCUGGGCUAUUUUUCGACAACAGAAACCUUUAUUUAGUAAUCGUAUUUCCUGUCGUCGCAGGGAACAGUGCUAUUAAUAUUAUUAUUAAUAUAAGAACCCUUCAGUCAUUUGGCGAUAACAGACAUCACAUCGUUCUCUAACAGUUCUCCCUGGUCCCCGACUCAAGGAGAAGAUGUGGUUGAAACUGUUCUUCAUCCUGGUUUAUUUCCUGGUGUUAUUCAUGCUGGCCCGUUUGUUUGAGACAGUUCUUUGGUAUGAGACCGGUCUGUUCGCCACUCAGUUGGUUGAUCCAGUGACUCUUAGUUACAGAAGGUUGAAAACGAUCUUGGAGUGCAGAGGUUUGGGAUAUUCUGGAUUACCAGAAAAGAAAGAUGUGAGCGACUUGGUGGAGAAGUCAGGAGAGUUGAUGCAAGGGGAGCUGUACUCAGCCAUCAGGAGAGAGGAGGAGCAGACGAACGUGGGAGAGCCAGGAAGCACCUCCUUCAGUGGGGAAAUGCACUUCUACGAACUAGUGGAGGACACAAAGGACGGCAUAUGGCUGAUACAGUUGUUGAACGCUCGCAGAGUGAUGCUAACGUUAACGUUAGCCAGUCUGAGCCUGCUGCUGCUGCUGCUGCGGCUGCUGCUGCUACGUUAACCGGCCCGAGACCCAAGCCAGCAAAGAUACAACAAACUCCUUUCAGCAUGGCAGCAAGGGGAAAGCUGUCAGCGGAGCAAAUUGCUGAGUGCCACAGAAAAGUAACGGCGUAUGUGGUAAAAAGGCUGCAUCCCUUUAGCGACAUCGAGUCGCCCACAUUUAGGGAUAUGAUCCAUUCAAUAAACCCGAAGUACACCCCCCCUACAAGGGAGUGUUUAACUAAUAGAUUGAUCCCGGCAUGGUACCAGAUAGAAAAAUCUAAUCUGAUCUCAGAGCUGAGUGAGGUCAGUCACAUAGCUCUCACUUGUGAUGGCUGGACUAGCCACCCCAAGACCACUACCUAGCUGUCACAGUGCACUAUUUAGUGGAAAGCAACAUGAGGCAGAAAGUUCUCGCAACAAAAGCUGUGUACAGAGCCCAGACAGGAAUUGUCGUGGCAGAGGAAAUCGGCGACAUCCUGAAAGAAUUUGGCGUGUUUGAUAAAGUAGUAGCCGUUACUGUGGAUAAUGCUGCCAAUAUGGACGUAGCCAUCAAACGGCUGCAGUUUGUGAAGCUCGGCUGCUUCGCUCAUUCACUAAACCUAGCAGCACAAAGUCUGUACUCCAGCAGCUCAGUGGACUGCAAAGAUUCGUGCCAUCAUCGUCUGGAUGAAGAGGUCGUCCAUGGCGAAGGUGGUUCUACGGGAAAAGCAGGAUGUCCUAAACCUCCCUCAACAUUCACUGAUUCUCGAUGUGAGAACAAGGUGGAAUUCUCUCUAGCUAAUGAUGGAGAGAUUCCUUGAACAAUACCCUGCAAUACAAGCAGCCAGCUUGGACCAACGCCUGAGAAAGAAUAUGGAGAGGGACAGGCUUGAUCGGCUGACAGAUGGUGAUUUCACCAAGGCAGAAGACUUCAUCAGGCUGAUGCAGGUUCUGUACACCUGCACGCUCUGUGUUUCCACUGAAAAAAGCCCAACAGCCGGACAGAUCCUGCCGAUCAUCCAAAAGCUGGAGAAACACUUCGCUGCUGUAAAUGGAGACACAGCAUUUGUAGCUGACUUGAAGAAAAGGGUCUGGGGAAACAUGUCUACCCGGUACAAGAAUGAGGACAUCAGGUUCUUCUUGGAAGAAGCCACUGCCUUAGAUCCCCGCUUCAAGAAUAAGAUGGACAACGACACCGCAGUCUGAGAACGGAUCAAGGGGAAGUUGCUGGCAAACUCUGAAGAGUCGGUGGCAGUCAAUCAUGACCAUUCAGAAGAGGUUGGUGUGAUGCAGGGCGAGGGAAACCAGGAAGGUGUGAAGACUGAGAGUGAGGAGGAAGAGGAGAAUCAGCCUCCUCCUUCCAAACAAUCGAAAAAGUCUCCACUGGAGGAGCUUUUUGCUGAGGAGGAUGCCAUGAAGAGGACCUCACAAGAGGGGUUGAUAUCCAUGGAAAGUCGUGCUGAAAGGGAGAUCCAGACGUACCUGGAAACGCCACCAAUCAUCACAUCGUCUGACCCUGCAGCCUGGUUCUGGACCCAGACACAAACUUAUCCUUUACUGUCAUGUCUGGCCUUCUCAUAUUUAUGUGUCCAGGCCUCCUCAACACCUAGUGAACGGGUGUUUUCUACUGCAGGGAACACAAUCUGUGCGGAACGGUCGCGCUUACUGCCUGAGAAGGCAGACAUGAUAAUCUUCCUAAACAAGAACUGUUGUUAAUGAUUUGUCACAACUGCGCCAGGGUUUGAGUUUGUUUUAUUUUGUUACAUAUACAUCCACCUGGGCUGCAGCUCUUUGCUUUUUAGACUGCUGCCAACUUGUGUCACUUCAGCAGAAUUCAGUUAUAGUUACAGUUAGGGACCCUCGGUAAUGUGAAUAAAUAUAAUGGCCUGUGUAAAGGCUUUUUCAAAUGAAAAAA